ACUUGCCGCCUGGAGUUCGUUGGGAAAGUUGAAAAAGCCUAGUCCUGUUUAGGAAAUCUAUCCAGCUGUGUAUAUACUUUUUGCUUUUAGGGUAUGAAGCUCAGGAAGGAUAAGAAAAACAAGAUCACACAGCUGGCAAGUGGCAAAGCAGGACACAAUUUAUAACUCCAGAACGAGAAUUUGCAGUUGUUGCGCCAGAUGCCCUGUAGCGUGGCUCGUCUGGGUUCAGGAAAGUAUAGCUCCAGUUUAGUGUUCUUAUGGAUCAUCGACUGUACCCAAGACCAGAAACGGAAACAACUAGAUCAUCUUCAACUGAAGAACGGAGACAGAAACGUGAUACAGGAGUAAUUCUGUGUUUGCAGCUCACUGAAGAAACUUUCUCUUAUGCUUCCCUUCGCUGUGACAAACCAGUUCUUCCUAAAAGUACUUCUUCCAUGCUUGCCUGAGAUUUGGCAGUUGUACAUCUCUCUUACCGGUCACUCAGCCUUCAGCCUUGGAAGUCUGCUUGUUUGUGACUCGGUUGUCCUCACAUCUGCAUGAAUCUGAUGAGCUGGAGUUCCUGGACUCUGGGCCCUGGUGGCCACCCUUCCUUUUCCAAGGUAGUUCUGUACAGCCUGACUGGGCUGCCAGCCACCGCUGGCUCUAUGUGCAGCUGCAGUCUAUUAACUGUACCCUCGCCCAUCCUAACCAAGACAUGAAGUAUGCUUCAGAUUCCAAGAGGAAGUGAAUGGCACAAAUGUGAGAUAAUAAAAAAUGUGUUCCUAA
rnacentral:lncRNA from 1 species